AUGCGUUUGUGUGUUUGCUUACAGGAUGAUUUGGAUCAACGCCGCACAAUUAGCAGUAGUAUGGAUUCACUGGAGCUGCAGACCGAGGCUUUGCGUCACAUGCUCACUUCUGAUGUCUGCAGCAUGGACAGUGUGAAGGUGAGUCAGACAACACACACACACACACACACACACACACACACACACACACACACACACACACACACACAUAUUUAUUCAUUGCUCCUUCAGACUGCUCUGAUGGAGCUGAGCCAUCUGCGUCCUGCCCUGGAUGACCUCACUGAGGCAAGCCUUUCUGGGACCCUGGAUGGCCUGGAAGCAGAUAGACUGAAGUCCCUGACCAGGAAGUGGGCACAGGCCCUCUACUGCACCUCCCACAUGAACAGAAAAUUGCAAGCUGAUGCCCAGCACUCCCAGAGCCUUCAACAGAAGUGGGACAGCUGGGAGGGCUUCCAGGAGAAGAUGGAGGAGGACUUGGCCCCAGACGUUUCUGGAAACUACUCCGGCCUCCGUGAGCAACUGGCAAUCCAUCAGGCCUGA
rnacentral:lncRNA from 8 species